UGAUGAAUGUUUCAGAGCCUGGCGUAUUGUUCCGGGUGCAAAGGAAGCGCCUGAAUGACUGAUGGAGGAUUUUGA
rnacentral:tRNA from 1 species